UUUCGCAAUGCCCGAAAGGGUGACGAAGCGACGCCGCGUGAGUGAGGAAGGCCUUCGGGUUGUAAAGCUCUGUCAGGAGUUAAGAAAUAUAAGUGUGUUAAUACCACAUUUAUUUGACGAAGGCUCCAAAGGAAGCCACGGCUAACUCUGUGCCAGCAGCCGCGGUAAUACAGAGGUGGCAAGCGUUGUUCGGAAUUAUUGGGCGUAAAGAGCACGUAGGUGGGUUUGUAAGUCAGAUGUGAAAGCCUUCUGUUCAACGGAAGAAUUGCAUCUGAAACUGCGAGUCUUGAGUGUAGGAGGGGAGAAUGGAACUUCUGGUGGAGCGGUGAAAUGCGUAGAUAUCAGAAGGAACGCCGGCGGCGAAAGCGAUUCCCUGGCCUAUUACUGACACUCGGUGUGCGAAAGCUAGGGGAGCAAACGGGAUUAGAUACCCCGGUAGUCCUAGCUGUAAACGAUGGGCACUAAGUAGAGGGGUUUUA
rnacentral:rRNA from 1 species